rnacentral:rRNA from 1 species
UACGUAGGGUGCAAGCGUUUGUCCGGAAUUAUUGGGCGUAAAGGGCUCGUAGGCGGUCUGUCACGUCGGGAGUGAAAACUCGGGGCUUAACCCCGAGCCUGCUUCCGAUACGGGCAGACUAGAGGUAUGCAGGGGAGAGUGGAAUUCCUGGUGUAGCGGUGAAAUGCGCAGAUAUCAGGAGGAACACCAGUGGCGAAGGCGGUCU